GUUUUUAUGCAGAUACACCAGUCAGCCUUUGUUUUUGAUUGGGUAGAAGGAAAGCGCACACCGAAAACCGUUUCUCCAAACCCCACCCACACACUCUGCUUUACUCGGGUUUCUCUUUCCCCUCCCCCGGUCCUUAGACAGCCAUUUCCACUCUGCCACAUGGCCUUACCAACAAACAAACCGAUAACUGGAGAUGAAACACAAAUCGCUAACUGCCCAGUCGGGAGAGAGAAAAGCGCAGUUGGUAGAGAAAACCUAUAUGACCUGCUUCCAGAAGGGCAAAGUGAAGAGGGAACAUCAAUGGCUCACUUCAAGGUCUAUCUCCAGUGCAGAGACGAAACUCCAGCCAAAACACCUAAUUCUGUGCAAGCGCCACAGGCUAACACGUUGCGUGGUGUACAGGACUGUCCGGAAGGUGCUUGACAUCGAUGGAUGGUAUUUAAUGGGGAUGGAAUAUCUAGAAUGCAACCCCUGUGAAAAGAAGUUGGCAGGUUGGUCACUGGAUGUCCUUAACCAGGUGGACACAAGUUCUCAGCGAUCUUGGCUUUUCGGUUAAUUCCCAUGGUGUAUCAGGCUGUCCUGUGACCUGAAGGUAGUCAGAAUAGACGAGGGAGCGUACACUUGGGAACAGCGUGACUAGGCUCUUCCUUACCUCAAGAAGGCUGCUCCAUUGCCCCCUACUAUCUGUCAGGACCUGGAGGAGGAUGAGUACACAAGUCCUGAUGGGGUUGUCGGGUAUCAACAUGUCGUUCUCCUUGCCAAAAGUCUGAUGAGACUCUUGGAGAGGCUGUCGAUCUCGACUCGGCAUGCCCAAAGAGAUAAUCGCCCUGUGAGAGAAUCUUCCAGAGGCGAACAAGAUGAGUCUCCUCAAAGACCACAGCAGUCGAGGGGGAAGAUAGCAUGAAGCGCUCCCUAUUUGGACAAGGACCUGGACCUGCCCUGUGGCCCAACACUAGCAGCACAGUAGAGGCUUUCUUUUUGGAGCUUUGCCAGACUGUCCUUGGUGUGCGGGACAACAGGUGGGCUGCCAUCCAGAAGGACUACAGGACCAUCAGGAACAUGAUGCUGCUAAUUAUUAAUAAUGUCUACAUGUAUCAUCAUCAUCUUACUAUUGUUAGACCGUCCUCUGACUUCAGCUCAUAGACCGUGGUGUUGGUCUGGGCCAUCAACCCUGGGCUGUUCAGCACCGCCUCUCUGACUGAAGAGGAUCGCCCACCUGCACCUCUUAGGGCCGCAUGGAUGCUGGUGACAGAGCUGGCUGCAAAUGGCCUCGACCAGGCGACUGCCGCCUGGCCACGUAGCAGGACCCGGGUUAAGUCUGAGAAAGCAACUGAAAGACAAAGAUUUGAACAAAGAAUACUUGUUAGUGUUGGCAGUGGAUGGCAACUGUUGAAAUAAUUAUUAUAUUAACCAAAUACCAUUGAACACUGUCCUUUCCAGCAGUUUCCCUUUAAUCGCUUUGAACCGCCCGCGCUCGAGCCUGUCCUGGUGACGGAAAGUGUCGACAACUCCUCUGGCUGCGGUAGUGUUUGCCACAGUCCUAUCAGACAGUCUACCUUUCGAUCCGUGAGCCCCUGAAGACCCUCUUGGCCAGCCUGCAGACCUGCUGGUAUCUGGCCCUUGGCACUCCUUCUGAAUGUUACAAAUACAUUAAAAAAAUAAAAUAAAAAGCCUUUCAGGAAACAUUUGGUUUAGAAUGUCAUGACAAAUAGGGGUGCAUCAGCUGGAUUACCUGGCGGGGCUACUACUGAAGUGGAGAACGAGGCCGGCAGCGAGGCUGGGGUGGUGGCGUCCUUAUCCUGUCUCCUCAAAGCCCUCAUCCUCCAGGGGUCCCUCGACAGCAUCAGCCUCAUCUGGAGUGUCGGGGUCCGGUUGACUUCCUGCAGCACUUUGUUGGUCUGGGUGUACAGCUAUAUUACCUGGUUCUGGAAGAAACAUGUGAAGCGGGGGACGUCAAUGGCUCGUUUCAAAGUCUAUAUCCAUUGCAGAGACAAAACUGCUGCUGAAGCAUCUCCUAAUCCCGGUAACUAUAUAUUCUGAUCUUGACUUUGAUGUCAUUUGUUUCAGUAAAUGAAAUAUUGCCGCAAUUUAGUCUGAGUAUCUCUCUCUGUCUGUGUGUGUAUGUGUGUGUGAUUUAAAAGCUGUUUAGCUAUCUGAUCUGGAAUUACUGGCUAUCAUCAUGGAACUGGAACAAGGAAUGUUUCUGUUUGUGAGCGAGCUAGUAGAGAAGAAUACUAGUAUCAAAUGAACUGUGACCUAAUCUUUUUGUGUUAGUCUCAUUGUUAGCUAUAACAGGUUACACUUUAAAGUGGUAAAGGUAAGUGGUUAUUUCUAAAAUGCUUAGUAGUUGGGCUUAGAAAUCUUUGUAAAAUGAGUCACUCAUUUUCAUCUGUUUUGCAUGGCAUUUAUUAGCCAUUUCAGUCUUUGGAAUUGUAAUCUGUGCAUCACUUCGCUUCAGGUAAUUUGUUGCUUGAUUACUUGCUCUAUCACAGUGUUCUGUAGCUUAUUAAAUGUAGAUUUGUAUGCAGACAAUAUUCAAUUCUUCUAACACUGAUCUAACUAUGUCAAAGUGCAAUAGUUGUUUUACAGGCUUUUAAUAUAAAGCUUUAUUGUUAUCAGUAAAGUCAACAAUUAGAUUUUUUGUGAUUCUAAUUUCUAUGCAUUAUGUUGCAGUUCCUACUGUGCCAGCCUACCUCUCCCAGCCAGGAGGUGGACCAGUUCUGCCAGAUGCUGGCACUUCGGUAAACACUUUUUUUGUGAGGUGGUAGUAGGUGUAUUCAUUAUCCACUCUUCUGCAUCCGGUAGGUAAUUCUCCCGGAGGGAUGGAAGCUGACCCUCCCAAAAGAGCAGCAUGAGUAUGGCCCGCCGAGCCAUUUUCACAAAGGACAAGCAACUCAAGUGUGUCCUGAAAAGGCAGCUUGAGUUGUUGUACUUUCCUCCUCUGCCUCCCAACAUCAGUCAUCAGCCUCCAGCAUCUCCCAACGCCUACUUCCUCCAUCCCUUUUUUCUCUGGAAGCCCUAUCGCCUGUGGGUUUUUAAGUUUGUGUUCACCCAACCACAGUGCAUGAGCCACAAGCUAACAGGCUGCGGGGUGUAUAGGACUGUCCGGAAGGUAUUGUAUGGAUGGUAUUUCAUGGGGACGGAAUACCUGGAGUGCAGACUUUGCAAAAAGAUGUCGGCAAGUUGGUCUUUGGAUGUCCUCAACCAGUUGGACCCAAGUCAUCGGGCCAAGUUCCCAGCCAUCUUGACUUAUCAGUAAGUAGUUGACACCUCCGACAAUCAAAGAGGUGUGACCCCUUGACUUUGUUGUUCCGAUGGGGGGGGGGGAUUCUGACUGGGGCAGUCUGAGGUGGUGAUGUUUCACAGCCUCAUUGAAAUGCUAAUUAGGCUUUCUUAUCAGCUGCAGGAACUCUGCAGUUGAAAGUUUUUCAAAGUCACCCGGUUCCCACAGACCCCCUACCAACUAUGAUCACACCCCCCGACCAGUUCUCAACCGGUUUCUAUGUCUAUCAGGCUGUCCUGUAAUCUGAAGGUAGUCAAGCUGAUGAGGGAGAGGACACUAGGAAACAGUGUGACCAGGCUGUUCAACCAGCUGAGGGAGCUGCACAGCGGGACCUGGGGGGGGGGGGGUUCUUUCCUCCUGCGCUUUGCGCAAGGGUCCACUUCCUUUGGAGAGUUUCCACCUCCACUUGAACCGCUUCAUUCCUGGUGCAUUCAAUGCGCUGAUACGUUUCUCACAUUGUUUUACUGCCUGUGUGCAUGUGAGGAGUCCUCAUUUCUUGUUGUUUUCAGUGCCAAGCACUUUCAGGCUUACCUCCUUGAAGGGCUCAUAAGGUGGAACGAGGACCGUGCAGAGGCUGCAGCAGGGGGAGUGAAGCAGUCCUUUGCACUGCUAUGACGGCGUAGCACAACACGCCAUCAAUGAGCUGAGCCAGAAGCUCCUUGGUCGUAGUCUCAUAACAGAUUACACAAAACCCUCCAAGUACACUGGCAUGGACACUAUGGAAUUUUGCCUUUCUAGACAAAUGUAGACACUUAAACACACAGCAUGAAUAUCAACAUGCUCACAACUGUUUGUGUGUGACACUCUGUCUUUGUUUGUCUGAAGGGGAACUUAUUGCGGUGGAGUAUUUGUACUCCCAGACUGGCGGGCAGAGGAGGACACUCCAGAUGGGAUGUCAGAUGACACAGAGAAAGGAGAGGGAGAGGACAUCUCGUGGAGUUGGAAGAGUUUGAUGACGACCACCAUUUCCUUAUGUUCUCUGGAUGAGAGUCUACCACCUCUUCCUCUUCUCUGGAAGGCUGCUCCACCGCCCCUGCUAUCUGUCAGGACCUGGAGGAGGACGAGUACAUUGGACCUGAUGGGGGUGUCGGCUAUCAGCAUGUCAUUCUCCUGGCCAAAAGUCUGGUGAGAAUCUUGGAGGGGCCGUGGAUCUCGACUCGGCAUGCCCAAGAGAUAAUUGCCCUCUGGGAGUCUUUUGGAGGCGGACAAGAAGACAGUCUCCUACCCCGAGAGGUUCCGGGCCUAGUCCUGCAGGGGCGAUCUAAAAACUCCAAGACAACAACAGUUAAAGGCUCCCUACUUGGACAAGGACAUGGACCUGCCCUGUGGCCCAAAACUAGUAAGACAGUAGAGGCAAUCUUUUUAGAGCUUUGCCGAAAACACCCUGCUGGCCAGACUGUCCUUGGUGUGAGGGUCAACAGGUGAGCUGCCAUCCUGAGCGACUACAGGAGCAUCAGGACCAUGGUGCUCGGGUCCAGCUGUUUGAGGUCAAUAGGUUGACCUUGACACAAUGGUACGACACUCGGGUUACCUCGAUGGAGAGGGUGACCCUUCACCUGGGCCUGGACAGAAUGACUGCAGACGGAGGAGGAAGACCCCUUCCAUUCUUCGGUCAGGACCGCGGCACCGCUAACUGCACCAUCGACCAGCAGCACAUAUCAACUGUCUGAAGACCAAACAGGGCUGGCUACACGGCAUGGCAGAAUAGAGAUAGAAAAGUCAGCCACCGCAUCCUCCACUGUCCCUGCCUCAGCCUACCACCGCCCUUCCCGUUGCUCCAGACCUGCCCUCAACCAGCAGUGCUCUGCCGCCCCCCAAUGCAAGACCCAAAGUCUCCAGGACCACAGAAUGGAGGGCCAGAAAAAGACUAGAGUCGGGUCAAACAGUGCGUGCACACAAGCCCUACAAAUUCUACAUCUGUAAGAAGUGUGGUCAGCCCAAAACAAAAUAAUUUGGAGACAGUGUGUUCUGGGGACAGUUUUUGUGCCACUACAUCUGGCGGCCAAACUGAGUACCAGUAAACCCUCCUGCCUGACUGUCUGCUGACGGUUGUACAGCAAAUACACCUCCGGGAUGUCUAACGCUAUCUCUAUUUUUUUGUCCUGUAAAUAACAAAAGGAUCAGGGUUCUAAAGGUGACAGCAGGGUGUCUAGGGUGUGAACUACAUGGUCAACCACUCACAACUCUAUUUCUUGUCCAACAAAAGGACCAGCAGAUGAGGGUUCCAGGAAAAAAGAUCCUUCCAGGAAAUUCAGCCGUCCGUGGUAGCCACCUGUUAUUGACAGUCACUGGUUUUUUACUACAUAUAUUUUCAUUUUUCUGUAUUUUACCUGCAGACAAUUUCAUUUCAGAGUAAAAGUUUUAAAAGGAUCUUAGAACUGUCGUUUUUGUUUUCCCUUUGUAGACAAGAAGCUGACACACACCACCUCCAGAACCAGCAAGGGGGCUGUGAAGAGACGGGCCCCAACAAGCAACCCCCCAACUAAGAGAGUCGUCAGUGCUGCCAGACUUGCCAAGGACCUCCUCCCUAACAGAUAUGUCAACUGGCUAAGGAAGCAGACAUCCAGGAAACCUGGGGACCCUAUAGAAGCAGCCCUUAAAUACAUAAGGCACCCUGACUAGGAGGCAGCUACACCCCUUUCUCCACUUGCUGGCCUCUUGGUGCAGCAGUGGUCCCAGUGUUUUUGGGGCAGUGUUCAGUGGACAACUGCAUUCAACAGCGAGGAAGAUCCUUGCCCCAAAGACUGCAGUUCCUAGUAUCUUCAUAUUGGAGAAUUGCAAGAAACAUUAUAAUGAGCUCUUGAUGACUAAGACCACAUUUAACACACAUUUCUAUGUGUGAAGAGGAGGCUGCCCCAUGGCAGUCUUUCCUGCCUCCAAGGCCUGCACAUGCAAGUCCAGAGCUGCUGCAUCCUGAGAGCUGGCGGGCAUGUCUGAACAAAGAGCAGCAGCAGAUCGGCCGUACACUGUUCACCAGGAGUAGCACUGGGAGAUAUAAAAUUACCAGAGUUGGUCUGUGGUGGUACCCUCCCCAACCUUGGCUGACCUACAAUCAGCCACCUGAGUCGCCUGACCCCUUCUUUGCAUGUCCGCUGUUCCUCUACAUACAUGGUCAUUCAAGCUGGCACGCACCCGGCCUGGGUGUAACACUCUUCUCACCAAGGCUGGGCUUUACAAGACCAUCCAGAGAGUCUUGGAUGUCAAGGGCUAGUACCCCAUGGCCACGGAGUGUCUGCGUUCUUCCACCACAUUACAUGUGAAUUCAUUGGUGUUGAGUACCUGUACACCCAGACCAACAAAGUGCUGCAGGAAGUCAACCGGACCCCGACACUCCAGAUGAGGCUGAUGCUGUCGAGGGACCCCUGGAGGAUGAGGGCUUUGAGGAGACAGGAUAAGGACGCCACCACCCCAGCCUCGCUGCCGGCCUCGUUCUCCACUUCAGUAGUAGCCCCGCCAGGUAAUCCAGCUGAUGCACCCCUAUUUGUCAUGACAUUCUAAACCAAAUGUUUCCUGAAAGGCUUUUUAUUUUAUUUUUUUAAUGUAUUUGUAACAUUCAGAAGGAGUGCCAAGGGCCAGAUACCAGCAGGUCUGCAGGCUGGCCAAGAGGGUCUUCAGGGGCUCACGGAUCGAAAGGUAGACUGUCUGAUAGGACUGUGGCAAACACUACCGCAGCCAGAGGAGUUGUCGACACUUUCCGUCACCAGGACAGGCUCGAGCGCGGGCGGUUCAAAGCGAUUAAAGGGAAACUGCUGGAAAGGACAGUGUUCAAUGGUAUUUGGUUAAUAUAAUAAUUAUUUCAACAGUUGCCAUCCACUGCCAACACUAACAAGUAUUCUUUGUUCAAAUCUUUGUCUUUCAGUUGCUUUCUCAGACUUAACCCGGGUCCUGCUACGUGGCCAGGCGGCAGUCGCCUGGUCGAGGCCAUUUGCAGCCAGCUCUGUCACCAGCAUCCAUGCGGCCCUAAGAGGUGCAGGUGGGCGAUCCUCUUCAGUCAGAGAGGCGGUGCUGAACAGCCCAGGGUUGAUGGCCCAGACCAACACCACGGUCUAUGAGCUGAAGUCAGAGGACGGUCUAACAAUAGUAAGAUGAUGAUGAUACAUGUAGACAUUAUUAAUAAUUAGCAGCAUCAUGUUCCUGAUGGUCCUGUAGUCCUUCUGGAUGGCAGCCCACCUGUUGUCCCGCACACCAAGGACAGUCUGGCAAAGCUCCAAAAAGAAAGCCUCUACUGUGCUGCUAGUGUUGGGCCACAGGGCAGGUCCAGGUCCUUGUCCAAAUAGGGAGCUAAAAGGAUAUUAAAUUAUAAAAGACAACAUCUAUGAAGAACACAAAACACCCUGUUUAGUGAGAAAGUGAUUUCGGCACAAAGUGCAGUACUUACCGCUUCAUGCUAUCUUCCCCCUCGACUGCUGUGGUCUUUGAGGAGACUCAUCUUGUUCGCCUCUGGAAGAUUCUCUCACAGGGCGAUUAUCUCUUUGGGCAUGCCGAGUCGAGAUCGACAGCCUCUCCAAGAGUCUCAUCAGACUUUUGGCAAGGAGAACGACAUGUUGAUACCCGACAACCCCAUCAGGACUUGUGUACUCCUGGAAAUAUGAAGUGUAAUUGCAAGGGGUUGGAUUAUUGGAUAUGAAUAAGAAAAGAAAAAAAAUGACGAUGUGAGCGGUUUGUGAUGUGGAUAUGCACUUACAUCCUCCUCCAGGUCCUGACAGAUAGUAGGGGGCAAUGGAGCAGCCUUCUUGAGGUAAGGAAGAGCCUAGUCACGCUGUUCCCAAGUGUACGCUCCCUCGUCUAUUCUGACUACCUUCAGGUCACAGGACAGCCUGAUACACCAUGGGAAUUAACCGAAAAGCCAAGAUCGCUGAGAACUUGUGUCCACCUGGUUAAGGACAUCCAGUGACCAACCUGCCAACUUCUUUUCACAGGGGUUGCAUUCUAGAUAUUCCAUCCCCAUUAAAUACCAUCCAUCGAUGUCAAGCACCUUCCGGACAGUCCUGUACACCACGCAACGUGUUAGCCUGUGGCGCUUGCACUGUGGCAAACAAAGUUUGGGGCACAGGUCAUUUGAUAUUAGUAUUGAAUUAUUAGUAUUAGUACUGAAACCAAUGACAUCAGAAUAUAUACUUGCCAGAAUUAGGUGUUUUGGCUGGAGUUUCGUCUCUGCACUGGAGAUAGACCUUGAAGUGAGCCAUUGAUGUUCCCUCUUCACUUUGCCCUUCUGGAAGCAGGUCAUAUAGCUGUAUUAAAAACAAACAAAAAUGUACACACUAACAGUCAAAAGUUUUUUUCCAGUUUGGCUGAGGUCAUGGGACAGAAACUCACUCCUUCAUAAACACUGUGUCCUGUCUUUAAUUUACUACAUUUCUUGCAGUACUAUACUUUGCUGGGCUUGUGCACACAGACUGUUUGAAGAAACAGACAGAUAUUCCUUGUAUCUUGUGUACCCCAAAGCCAACAAGGUGUAGGUGUCCCUGAUCACGUUAAGGGAGUGAGGUUCCACCUCUACUGCCCUCUGGGAACAGGCUGCCAUACCUGUUCAGGUGGUUGAGAUAAUGCUAUAUAAUGUGUUGCAAUGUGGAUUGAUUUACGGUGUGUACGUGUCAUCAUACAAGAUACUUAUUUCCAUUAAAACAUUUACCAAUUUAAGCAGUCCUGGUUUGCCAUCUUGGGAGACAACUAUGUCUUUACUAGCUGUCUCAUUAAGUACAUCAGAUUGAACUGUACAAUAUGGAUUGUUUGAGUCUAAGCUUUGUGAAUUCAUUGGUACAAUUAAAUAGAAGUAGAAUAUUUGAAUGUAUCUACCUCCAUAUGAUACAAUGUCAUAAAUAUACAUUAUGCUGUGUGUAUAGUACUAAUCUGUGUCAUGUUUUCAUUCAUCAGAUGGUAAUCACCCAUUUUUACUCUUAAAUUAAUUGAAAACAAUAAAAAGUGC
ensembl:lncRNA